CAAUAACUCAGGGUGGUAAGGAAGAGCUCCAAUAACUCGAGAAAUCUAUCUGUACCCUGUUAGCUAAAUAUCAAUGUUUUCAUCAGAAGGUUACCUAAAUCAAGCCACUGUGAAAUUAUCAUCUCACCAUGACAUUAACCUUAAUGUCAGCAUCAAAUGCUCCAUUGACUGUAACAGCCAUAAAACAUGCAUGUGAAUGGAGAAAACGUGCUUAUAACAUUGCCACCACUUCCACUGUUGAGAGUUUUGGUUCUUGACACGCCUGAUUGUCAGAUGUGGAGCACCACAAGCCAUGUUUGCAGCUCACAGGUUACUGCUAUAAGUGGCACCUGUGUCCCUGUUCUCAUUAAUUCUGCAGGCUUUCUCAUAUCUCCAACCAAGCGAAUGUAUCUCCAACCAAGCACCUAGGAGAGCAGAAAUCAGGACUACAGAUGCCAUAUUGCCAAGCCCCCCUGAGAUUUAAAAUAGUACUGGAACGGUCAGCUUCAUCCUGAAGUCAUGCACUGUAAACAUAUUCAGGCAUAGAAGAUGACCUGGGGUUCCUCUUUGAAUGACUUUUUAGUGCUGUCUGUCAAUGAACUGGGUGGAUUCUGAACCCCAUAAAUAUCCUGAACUCUGAAUUGAAGCUGUCUACAAGGAAAAUUCGUGUGUCAGAUCUGAGGAGUGCUCUGCAUUGAAGUUCAAUGCAAAUGUCUCCAGUAGGACUUCAUCUUGACCCCCUACUUAAUUUGAGGACUGUGCACAUCCUGCACAGAUACCUGUACUUAAAUUGGCCUAAAAUAACACGGAGAGGGAAGCAGGGAAAGGACACUUGUCUUCAGUCUUUGUUGCACCCAAAAAACCUCUUCUUCAGCGAAAAUGUUUCUCUGCCUUUUAUUCUCCAUCCUCUCAGCCAUGAAGAACAAGAGCUCCAUGACAUAGACUCCAAUGAGGGAGAGGCAGUCAGCUGCAGAGUUCAUAUAACAGGAUAUACAGCAAUUAAAAUUCAAUAACAUAGGCUUGAGCAAUUGAG
ensembl:lncRNA